CAGGAGGUUGGCUUAGAAGCAGCCAUCCUUUAAAGAUAGCGUAACAGCUCACUGGUCUAAACAAGCUGUCUUGCGGCGAAGAUGUAACGGGGCUCAAGCCAUGAGCCGAAGCUGAGGACGCGAGAGCGUGGUAGCGGAGCGUGGUGUGACAUAGCUUCAUUCCUCCUUCGAUCCUUCGGGAUCACUGGAGGAGAGAAGCUUUCUGUGAAGCCGGCCUGUGAGGGAUCCGGUGGAGAGAUCACCAGCGAGAAUGAUGACAUGAGUAGCGACAAGGAGUGUGAGAGACACUCCCGCCGAAAGUCCAAGGGUUCCUGCUUAAAGCUAAUCUGAGCAGGGUAAGCCGGCCCCUAAGGCGAGGCCGAAAGGCGUAGUCGAUGGGAACCAGGUGAAUAUUCCUGGGCCAGGAGAUGGUGACGGAUUGCGAGGAUUGUUCGCCCUUAUCGGAUUGGGCGGGCAGUUUAGCAGUCCCUGGAAAUAGCCCUCCAUAGGACCGUACCCUAAACCGACACAGGUGGACUGGUAGAGAAUACCAAGGCGCUUGAGAGAACGACGUUGAAGGAACUCGGCAAAAUACCUCCGUAAGUUCGCGAGAAGGAGGCCCGGUUUUUGCGCAAGCAGAGGCCGGGGGCACAAACCAGGGGGUGGCGACUGUUUACUAAAAACACAGGGCUCUGCGAAGUCGCAAGACGACGUAUAGGGUCUGACGCCUGCCCGGUGCCUGAAGGUUAAAAGGAGGGGUUCACGCUCCGAAUUGAAGCCCAGGUAAACGGCGGCCGUAACUAUAACGGUCCUAAGGUAGCGAAAUUCCUUGUCGGGUAAGUUCCGACCUGCACGAAUGGCGUAACGACUUCCCCGCUGUCUCCAACGUCGACUCAGCGAAAUUGAAUUGCCUGUCAAGAUGCAGGCUACCCGCGGUUAGACGGAAAGACCCCGUGCACCUUUACUACAGCUUCAGACUGGCACCAGGCCUGCGAUGUGCAGGAUAGGUGGUAGGCGUCGAAGCGGGAACGCUAGUUCUCGUGGAGCCAUCCUUGAGAUACCACCCUUCGUUCGCUUGGUGUCUAACCGCGGCCCGUUAUCCGGGUCCGGGACCCUCUGUGGCGGGUAGUUUGACUGGGGCGGUCGCCUCCUAAAGCGUAACGGAGGCGCGCGAAGGUUGGCUCAGAGCGGUCGGAAAUCGCUCGUUGAGUGCAAUGGCAGAAGCCAGCCUGACUGCGAGACUGACAAGUCGAGCAGAGUCGAAAGACGGCCAUAGUGAUCCGGUGGUCCCAAGUGGGAGGGCCAUCGCUCAACGGAUAAAAGGUACGCCGGGGAUAACAGGCUGAUACUGCCCAAGAGUCCAUAUCGACGGCAGUGUUUGGCACCUCGAUGUCGGCUCAUCUCAUCCUGGGGCUGGAGCAGGUCCCAAGGGUACGGCUGUUCGCCGUUUAAAGAGGUACGUGAGCUGGGUUUAGAACGUCGUGAGACAGUUCGGUCCCUAUCUGCCGUGGGUGUAGGAGACUUGAGAGGAGUUGACCCUAGUACGAGAGGACCGGGUUGAACGAUCCACUGGUGGACCUGUUGUCGUGCCAACGGCAGUGCAGGGUAGCUAUGAUCGGACAGGAUAACCGCUGAAGGCAUCUAAGCGGGAAGCCCCCCUCAAAACAAGGUCUCCCUGAGGGCCGUGGUAGACGACCACGUCGAUAGGCCGGAGGUGUACGCGCAGCAAUGCGCUCAGCUGACCGGUACUAAUGGCCCGACAGGCUUGAUCCG
rnacentral:ncRNA from 1 species